GUCAGGCCGGUGCCGGGAUUUGUGGCCGGCCACUGGGGAGUGGGAAGGAAGGGCCUGUCCUUGGCUGUUGGGGCCUCACCUUGGCCCCUGUGGGCAUGACCAUGGCCAUGCUCUUCCCCAGCGAACAGUCCCUCCGUUGGGGAUCCAAGGCUGGCCCCCGAGUCACAGUGCAGACACUUCCCAGGGGAUCAGCUGAGGACCGACUGCCCUUCUGGGAACAAGUGCAGGCGGACAGAGCCAGGGCAGUCCAGGACGGUCACCGCAGGGACAGGAGGACCCGGCUCGUUCUGCACAGUCGGAACACCAGUGGUCACAACUGUCACCGUGGUGUGGGAGGGGGCCGCACUCGCUGGGCAGAGUCCGGUGGUCGAGAGUAUGGGUUAAUGGUGUUGUCCCCUGUCACUCUGGGAAAGGGUCACAUGUCGUGGGGGGCCUGGGGGGACCCAGUGGUCAGAGGAUCUGGCUCCCAUGAGGGUGGAACCCAGCCUGGCAGGUGUGCUGUGCUCCCGUGAAGGCGCUGGCUGCAGGGAAUGGCGCACAGGGGGUGAUCCCCAAACCCCCCCGUCCUUGGGCCUAUACAAGUGGCCCGUGCCUUUAUAGGAAGACUUCCUUGAAGAAAACAGGAAUAUCACACCCCCAGGACCUGUUUGUGUCCCUCUCGGAGCUAAGUAGUGACAUAACCUGUUGGGGACAUGGUGGCCCAGUGCAGGGCAGAGGGGAUUCGGGUCUCAGGACCCAGGACCUCAUCCCGGGCAGGUUAAGGGGAGCUCAUUGACUGUGGGGGCUUUCCUGAGGUCUGGGACUCGGACCCAGAAGGUGGUGAGGUCACGGCGCCGUGAAGACGGUUAGAAGCGUGAGAGGUGCUUUUGAAAAGGGCAGACCGUCACGAGGGCCACAGCGGAUGUUGGGAAGGGGCCGGGCGGCAGGGGGUGGGCUCCUCAGGUGGCCUGGAGGAUACACCGUGCAGCCCAGCCGUCAGGAGCACACUCGGAGAGGCACCGGCUCUGUGGGGAGUUUCCAGGCUUACGGCAGAUUUCAGACCCAGAACCCAGAGAAUAAAAGGGGGCCGGGUCCUCGGGAAGCAGACUUCGCAACAUCAGGUAAGUCUGCGCCCCGGGGAGGGUGCCAGGCCUUCCCGUGACCCCGUAACUGAACACAGGGGAGGGGACACGCCCGAGCAUUUGAGGGCUGUGGACACGAGGUUCCAGCUGACGCCAGUAACCUGAGGCCCGAAGCGUCGCCGUGGCUCCCCUGUUAGGGUCAGGGGCUCAAAUGUGAUUGUGGCCGGGGUCUGGUCCCUGCCUUUGUCUACACGGGCACCUGAUGGCCGUUUCCCCACGCCCAGAAUGGACAGGUGGAGUGGACAUACUUGGUGGCCAGCCUCGUUCCCUUGGCCACCGUGAGGGACAAGCCCCACGGAAGCGUCCACAACUGCCCCCGACCCAGAUAGUCAGAAACAGCAGGACUUCGCGGGCAGUGACGCGGUUAAAGACUGCCGGGUGCAGGCUGGUGCUGCCACAUGUCUACACCCGCCAGUCUGACCGCGGCCAGAGGCCGGUGGUGGCGGCUCCGGGAGGACAGCUGGAAACACUGGGCCGCACCGCCCUCCGUCCCGAUGAGGAAGGGAAUCCAAAACCGUUUUCGGAGAGACCGUGUGGUCCCCCCGCCACCGUGACUCUCCUGCCCAGGGUCCCCGGCCCAGCACACCUGUCCCCCGGAUCGACAACCCUGUGAAUCAGCACAGCGAGGUCUUCGCAGGACACGCGCUCUCCGGGGAGAGGUCAGGGGCCUGAGGCGCACGGGGCCCCCUCGGGCAGAGGACGGGGAGCGCAGACCUGGGGGCUUCGGGGUGCCGGAGCGGUGUGCACCCCUGAAUUGUGCUCCAGUGCCAGUGCCGCGGAAGGCCAGCGCUGCGCGGGGCCCGCUGCGUUGAGCUAAGGGGCUCCAGGGCGGCUGGUGUCUCCGGCAGAAGGGGCCUGGCUCCGGGCCUAAGUGGCCCGCCUGGCACGGGACCGCGGCGGGCUAGUCGGCGCUGGCUUUCUCAGACCUGCCCUGUCAAGAGGUCGGGCACGUGGGGUGAGACGUGGCAAGGCCACAGGUCAGUGGCACGCUGCAGGCACGGGUGGUCCGGACCUGCGUGGGCUCCACCCGUGUGACGCCCGUGGGCGGCCCCUGCCCCUUCGUCAGUCCCACCGCUCCCACGUGCGGCCUCCCAGGAACUCCUGUGACCAGCGGGGGAGGAGGAGAAGCUCCGUCACGGUCCAGGGACGGCUGGCACCGUAUGUGGGCACAAGUGGACGAUGACAGUGGCGGAGGGGGCCCGUGGGCAAGCGGCCCAGCUGGCCAGUCAGAGGCGUGGAGGAG